rnacentral:misc_RNA from 1 species
GAUGAAGAACGUAGCGAAAUGCGAUAAGUAAUGUGAAUUGCAGAAUUCCGUGAAUCAUCGAAUCUUUGAACGCACAUUGCGCCCCCUGGUAUUCCGGGGGGCAUGCCUGUCCGAGCGUCAUUGCAACCCUCAAGCGCGGCUUGUGUGUUGGGCUUCGUCCCCCCGUGGACGUGCCCGAAAGGCAGUGGCGGCGUCCCGAAUGGUGCCCGGGCGUAUGGGAACUCUCUUCCGCUCGAACCGGCCCAUUCGGCGCUGGUCGAACCCCAAUUUUUUUUACCGGUUGACCUCGGAUCAGGUAGGGAUACCCGCUGAACUUAAGCAUAUCAAUAAGCGGAGGA